rnacentral:rRNA from 1 species
UACAGAGGGUGCAAGCGUUAAUCGGAUUUAUUGGGCGUAAAGCGCGCGUAGGCGGUUACUCAAGUCGGAUGUGAAAGCCCUCGGCUUAACUGAGGAAGUGCACCCGAAACUGAGUAGCUAGAGUACUAAAGAGGGUCGCGGAAUUCCCGGUGUAGAGGUGAAAUUCGUAGAUAUCGGGAGGAACACCGGUGGCGAAGGCGGCGACCUGGGUAGAUACUGACGCUGAGGCGCGAAAGCGUGGGGAGCAAACAGG